AUCCUCUUGUGUGCAUGUUCAAGCCAUUGUGUGAGAUGUGCCUCCUUCAAAUCUUAUUGUGACAUGGGUACAUAACCCACCUGAUG
ensembl:snoRNA